UCACGAAGGCAGAUUCUAAUUUCCAAUUCCUUCUAUUAUGGUGGGUGGUAGCAGACAGUCGCUGAAACGAGCUCCAAUACUCCAUAUCUGAAGAGAUCAGCAUCAACAGUAGUACACAGGGAGGAGAGAGAUGGUAGGGGCAUUUUGGGGAACAAGAAUGAUGGAGAUUGUGAAGAAGCAUGACUCGGGAGGUUUAGUGUGGAAAAGAAUAAAGCUCACCACUACUCGUAAAGCCAACGCCAAGAAACGACUCCUCAGGGUUUGGCAGAACGAAGCUGUCUUGAAGGCAUGUGCUGAACCACCAUCUUCAAAAACUUCUACAACUGAUGCUGUUGGAGUUGCAGAGAAAGAUGGUGCCAGCACCUAAACUUAACUUGCAAAAUGAGUGAGAAUGAAUCUUAUAGCCAAGCCAGUUUUUGUGCCUGUGUCUCUCUAAGGUAUUUGUUUUAGGCUCUGAUAUUAGUUUGUCCGUGACUACAGUGUAAAAGGGAUUGUAGAUUUUGUAACAUUUCUCUUUAACAUAGAUGGAAAUUUUAGCUUUUCUUCUCGAAUAAAAAUCUAUUUGGCUCUUGUUCAA